rnacentral:rRNA from 1 species
GAUGAACGCUAGCGGCAGGCUUAAUACAUGCAAGUCGAGGGGCAGCGCAGUGUAGCAAUACAUGGGCGGCGACCGGCAAACGGGUGCGGAACACGUACGCAACCUUCCUUUAAGUGGGGGAUAGCCCAGGGAAACUUGGAUUAAUACCCCGUAAUAUUAUGAAGUGGCAUCACUUUAUACUUAUAGCUCCGGCGCUUAAAGAUGGGCGUGCGACUGAUUAGGUAGUUGGCGGGGUAACGGCCCACCAAGCCUGCGAUCAGUAACUGGUGUGAGAGAACGACCAGUCACACGGGCACUGAGACACGGGCCCGACUCCUACGGGAGGCAGCAGUAAGGAAUAUUGGUCAAUGGACGCAAGUCUGAACCAGCCAUGCCGCGUGGAGGAUGAAGGUCCUCUGGAUUGUAAACUUCUUUUAUUUGGGAAGAAACCCACUGUUUCUACGGUGGUUGACGGUACCAGAUGAAUAAGCACCGGCUAACUCCGUGCCAGCCGCUGCAGUAACAC